rnacentral:rRNA from 1 species
ACACGACUCUCGGCAACGGAUAUCUCGGCUCUCGCAUCGAUGAAGAACGUAGCGAAAUGCGAUACCUGGUGUGAAUUGCAGAAUCCCGCGAACCAUCGAGUCUUUGAACGCAAGUUGCGCCCGAGGCCCUCCGGCCGAGGGCACGCCUGCCUGGGCGUC